rnacentral:rRNA from 1 species
AACGAACGCUGGCGGCGUGCCUAAUACAUGCAAGUCGAGCGAAUGGAAGGGAGCUUGCUCCCUGAAGUUAGCGGCGGACGGGUGAGUAACACGUGGGCAACCUGCCUGUAAGACUGGGAUAACUUCGGGAAACCGGAGCUAAUACCGGAUACGUUCUUUCCUCGCAUGAGGAAAGAUGGAAAGAUGGUUUCGGCUAUCACUUACAGAUGGGCCCGCGGCGCAUUAGCUAGUUGGUGGGGUAACGGCCCACCAAGGCGACGAUGCGUAGCCGACCUGAGAGGGUGAUCGGCCACCCUGGGACUGAGACACGGCCCAGACUCCUACGGGAGGCAGCAGUAGGGAAUCUUCCGCAAUGGACGAAAGUCUGACGGAGCAACGCCGCGUGAGCGAAGAAGGCCUUCGGGUCGUAAAGCUCUGUUGUCAGGGAAGAACAAGUGCCAGAGUAACUGCUGGCGCCUUGACGGUACCUGACCAGAGAGCCACGGCUAACUACGUGCCAGCCGCCGCAGUAA